rnacentral:snRNA from 1 species
CCUCCUACCUGGCAGGGAGACAUCACAGUCAUGAAGGUGGUGAGGUUCAUCCAUUGUACCCGGAUGUGCUGAGUCCUGAGAGGUCCUGAAUAUGGGAAACACGACUGCACAAUUUGUGGUAGUGGGGGACUGUGCUUGCAUUAAAAGAGAAAACAUUAAAAGUCAGGUCAUCUUAAAUCCCUG